GAGGGAGUCCCACCAACAGAUUUCCACCUCCCCAGUUGAAUAUCAGGGCCACCAUACACAGCUGAAGAGGCCAGGCUCUUUCCCCACAUAAGGUGCGAAUUCCCGGUGGCUCCACCCCAUUCCCCCAGUGCACACGCGGGCAUGCCCAGGCAAGCCCUAGGUAGUAUCCAAAAGUCAACAUUUGAUUGGUUAAAAGGCAUUAUUUAGAAAGAAUCAAUUGGGAAAGGGCAGGCGAACAGGGGCAGAGGUUCUCCCUCUGGCUCGCAGGUUUCAUCUAGGACAAGCAGUCUCGUCUUCAGGCUUCAGGGUGUUUUCGGCUUGAAGGGAAAAGGAAAGAAAACCUAAGCUGAACAAAUUAAGCCAAAUUUUAUACUUUGAUGAGAUGUGGCUGGUGCCUAUGUAUAUGGCCAACUUAGAACAAAUGGAGUGGGUAGAGGCAGUGUUAGCAUUUUAAUCAGCUGAAAAGUCCUAUUUGAACAAAUCCUUCAGCUCCCGAGCUUCAGGCUGUCAGCACAGUCAAGCUAUAAAAGAAAAUAUUCUCGGCCGGACAUUGUGGCUCACGCCUGUAAUCCAAGCACUUUGGAGGCCAAGGUGGGCCUCCUAUCUAUCCUGACUCUUCUGGACAAAGGCUUCAUCCCUGUUGUGAAAUCGGUGUAAUAUGGCAUGACCAGCAUAGAAUGCGAUAGAACAGAACAGACUGAAAAAGGAUCCAAAGCAUCAGAACGAUAGCAUGUCAUGGCCAAAGGUAUUGUUUCAGGAAAACUUUUUCCUUAAUAUAUAAUCUCCUGUAUCAUCUAUUUCUCUCUAUAUAUAGAAUCUUCCUAUUGUUAUAAACAU
rnacentral:lncRNA from 13 species